UAACUCAACACAUCAAAACAAGAAUCAGAGGUUCACCCACUCCCAAGGGUCUCACUCCCUAUUUUCCCUUCCUCUUUACCCCUUUCCAUUUCCAUCUUCAUUUCCAUGGCAGAAGCAACACACGCUCAAUGGCUUCGCAACAAGAAUCAGAGGUUCCCCAAAUUUCUGGGGCCACACCUCCGAAGAAGAAUACUACACCUGUACGCAACACCAAAUCAUAUUUCCAAACUCCCAACGGCAAAAUCCUUCCUCCCACUUAACACCCAACAAAUCAAACCCACCGUUUACAUGACUCACGGCUACGGCUACGGCUACGGCUACGGUUAUUGAAGACGACAACAACAACGACCUUGAAGAAGGUGAGAUCCUCGACGAAGACGAUUCUUCUGCCACGUCCAAACCCCACACCACCGCCACCGUCCAUCAACCUCAACCCCUCGAGAAUUCUUGGACCUUCUUGGACCUUCUGGUUCGAUAAGCCUUCUGUCAAAUCAAAACAAGCUGUUUGGGGUAGUUCUAUUCGACCCAUCUACACUUUCGCCACUGUUGAAGAGUUUUUGAGAAUUUGCCUAUGGUGAAAGACAAGGAACAAGAAAAGAAGGACAGGAAGAAGAGUGGGUGCCCUGAGAUAAAAAGGCUACAAGUUCGGUCAUGUAAAUUAUGAAGAUCCUCAUUUCGAUGUUGGUUUGCCUGUAUUUACCAUUCAUGGAAAUCAUGACGAUCCGGCUGGCUGUCGUGGUUAUUCUGUUAUAUAAUUGGAGCACAAAAUGUUUGACAGCGUGCUUAUCGGUGGAGUCUUUAUACUAGGAUAUAGAAUUUGGCUUCUCUGAGAAUAAUAACUGCUUUCAGUUUUGUUGGGAUUUGUAUGGGGUAGUUCCAGACCCUAUGAAGAGAUGACACAGAAAAAAAGAAGAGGAAGCUGCAAAUCUCAUGAAGGAAGAGGAAGAGCAUAUGAAACUUCAGACACAUGAAUCAUGAUCAAGGAAACAAAAUUGAACCGUUAGAAGAACAAAAUUGUCAUGAAAUCCUCAACUUUUUUCCUUUUAUCAUCAUCAAUCAUACUCAUGAUUUGGUGAACAAUUUGGGUACAAUCACAAGUUGAAGGCUCUAGGCGAUUUAAAAGUUGAAUUGGUGUUUGAACGGAGAUUGUAGUGUCUAUGGUUAUGAGAAAGGCAACACAUAGGAUUGCCAAAAGAUAGAAGAUGUUCUUUCGAGUCUAGUAGUUGCCGGUCUAAUCAUGGAACAUCAUUAGGGACUAUCUAGAUGAUUUAUGAACUAAGUUUGAUGUUGGUUUGCAUUUUCAGUCAUUCUAUUAAUGUUUUGAUUUUUGAAUAUUUAAACUAAUUUAAGUUUAAUUCAAUAUAUGGUCGUUACUUUUGAAUA